AUUGAACGCUGGCGGCAUGCCUUACACAUGCAAGUCGAACGGCAGCACGGGGCAACCUGGUGGCGAGUGGCGAACGGGUGAGUAAUGCGUCGGAACGUACCUUUCAGUGGGGGAUAACGUAGCGAAAGUUACGCUAAUACCGCAUAUUCUGUGAGCAGGAAAGCAGGGGAUCGCAAGACCUUGCGCUGAUUGAGCGGCCGAUGCCAGAUUAGCUAGUUGGGGAGGUAAAGGCUCACCAAGGCGACGAUCUGUAGCGGGUCUGAGAGGAUGAUCCGCCACCCUGGACCGGGGGGACGGACGAGACUCCGACGGGAGGGAGCGGUGGGGAAUAUUGGACACUGGGGGCAACCCUGGUCCAGCCAUGCCGCGUGAGUGAAGAAGGCCUUCGGGUUGUAAAGCUCUUUCGGCCGGGGAGAAGUCGCACGGGCGAAUACCCUGUGUGGAUGACGGUACCGGAAUAAGAAGCACCGGCUAACUACGUGCCAGCCGCCGCCGUAACAC
rnacentral:rRNA from 1 species